rnacentral:rRNA from 2 species
AGUGCGGGUGCUAAUACAUGCAAGUCGAGCGAACUGAUUAGAAGCUUGCUUCUAUGACGUUAGCGGCGGACGGGUGAGUAACACGUGGGCAACCUGCCUGUAAGACUGGGAUAACUUCGGGAAACCGAAGCUAAUACCGGAUAGGAUCUUCUCCUUCAUGGGAGAUGAUUGAAAGAUGGUUUCGGCUAUCACUUACAGAUGGGCCCGCGGUGCAUUAGCUAGUUGGUGAGGUAACGGCUCACCAAGGCAACGAUGCAUAGCCGACCUGAGAGGGUGAUCGGCCACACUGGGACUGAGACACGGCCCAGACUCCUACGGGAGGCAGCAGUAGGGAAUCUUCCGCAAUGGACGAAAGUCUGACGGAGCAACGCCGCGUGAGUGAUGAAGGCUUUCGGGUCGUAAAACUCUGUUGUUAGGGAAGAACAAGUACGAGAGUAACUGCUCGUACCUUGACGGUACCUAACCAGAAAGCCACGGCUAACUACGUGCCAGCAGCCGCGGUAAUACGUAGGUGGCAAGCGUUAUCCGGAAUUAUUGGGCGUAAAGCGCGCGCAGGCGGUUUCUUAAGUCUGAUGUGAAAGCCCACGGCUCAACCGUGGAGGGUCAUUGGAAACUGGGGAACUUGAGUGCAGAAGAGAAAAGCGGAAUUCCACGUGUAGCGGUGAAAUGCGUAGAGAUGUGGAGGAACACCAGUGGCGAAGGCGGCUUUUUGGUCUGUAACUGACGCUGAGGCGCGAAAGCGUGGGGAGCAAACAGGAUUAGAUACCUGGGUAGUCCAAAAA